rnacentral:rRNA from 1 species
AUUGAACGCUGGCGGCAUGCUUUACACAUGCAAGUCGAACGGCAGCGGGGAGUAGCUUGCUUCUCUGCCGGCGAGUGGCGAACGGGUGAGUAAUACAUCGGAACGUGUCGAGAAGAGGGGGAUAACCACCCGAAAGGGUGGCUAAUACCGCAUAAAUUCUGAGGAAGAAAGCUGGGGACCUAGGAAUAGGCCUAGCGCUUUUUGAGCGGCCGAUGUCGGAUUAGCUAGUUGGUGAGGUAAAGGCUCACCAAGGCGAAGAUCUGUAGCGGGUCUGAGAGGAUGAUCCGCCACACUGGGACUGAGACACGGCCCAGACUCCUACGGGAGGCAGCAGUGGGGAAUUUUGGACAAUGGGGGCAACCCUGAUCCAGCCAUGCCGCGUGUAUGAAGAAGGCCUUAGGGUUGUAAAGUACUUUUGUUAGGGAAGAAAAGUCAGCUGUGAAUAAUGGCUGAUACUGACGGUACCUAAAGAAUAAGCACCGGCUAACUACGUG